AAAAAGAAGGAAAGCAAAAGACUUUCAACGUUGCAGGUUAUUUUGCAAGUUUUCCUUGUCUACGUGCGCCUCUUGGAGUAACAUUGCUUGAAUUAGAUUUUAAAGCAUCAUUUCCAGAUGUUGUUGAUUCCAGAGACGACUUAUUUUCUGCCAAGUGGGAUGACAAUUGUUCGAAAAUAAUAAAAAUUUGUGAAAAUUCUAAAAUUCCAGACGUAAAAAAAUUCAAUGAUAAGUACGGAAAAUUAAUCAAAGAAGGAACUCACAACAGUUUACUGGCGUUAUUUUUGUUACCGCUGUAUAUAACGGUCAAAAAAUCUUUAAAAAACGGAGAAUCUGAAAACGUGGCAAUAAAGAAAGAUGAUG